rnacentral:ncRNA from 1 species
GUAAAUCCGAGGAUGCAGAGCAUUAGGUGUGGAACGUCUCAAGAGAGCCGGCGGCAGCUGAGAGCCGGUGACGAGAAGCGCUGAACUCACUGCGGAGGAGCGGCCGGGGCGCCUUCGGGCAAAACGGUCGACGCCUGCCACGUUACGGCACCGAGAGGAUGCGCAUGCAUCAAGCAGGGUGGUACCGCGAAUCAUCGUCCCUGAC